UACGGAGGGUGCAAGCGUUAUCCGGAUUCACUGGGUUUAAAGGGUGCGUAGGUGGGCAGGUAAGUCCGUGGUGAAAUCUCUGAGCUUAACUCAGAAACUGCCGUGGAUACUAUUUGUCUUGAAUGUUGUGGAGGUGAGCGGAAUAUGUCAUGUAGCGGUGAAAAUGCUUAGAUAUGACAUAGAACACCAAUUUGCGAAAGGCAGCUUACUACCCCGAAAUAUUUGACACUGAGGCACGAAAAGCGUGGGGGAUCAAAACAGG
rnacentral:rRNA from 1 species